GGGCCAUUAGCUCUAAUUGGGAGAGCAUCUGCUUUGCAAGCAGAGGGUUGAGAGUUCGAAUCUCUCAUGGUCCA
rnacentral:tRNA from 1 species